rnacentral:rRNA from 1 species
CACUCCUACGGGAGGCAGCAGUGGGGAAUAUUGGACAAUGGGCGCAAGCCUGAUCCAGCCAUGCCGCGUGAGUGAUGAAGGCCCUAGGGUUGUAAAGCUCUUUCACCGGUGAAGAUAAUGACGGUAACCGGAGAAGAAGCCCCGGCUAACUUCGUGCCAGCAGCCGCGGUAAUACGAAGGGGGCUAGCGUUGUUCGGAUUUACUGGGCGUAAAGCGCACGUAGGCGGACUAUUAAGUCAGGGGUGAAAUCCCGGGGCUCAACCCCGGAACUGCCUUUGAUACUGGUAGUCUUGAGUUCGAGAGAGGUGAGUGGAAUUCCGAGUGUAGAGGUGAAAUUCGUAGAUAUUCGGAGGAACACCAGUGGCGAAGGCGGCUCACUGGCUCGAUACUGACGCUGAGGUGCGAAAGCGUGGGGAGCAAACAGGAUUAGAAACCCUAGUAGUCCCA